rnacentral:piRNA from 2 species
UAGACAUGACUGGUUUUUGCUGCUUGGG